AAACCAUCGAAUUUAUUAACAAAUCAUGGACCGAGGCUGUUGUGCCUCUGCAUGACGCACGCCUUACAUUGGCUUGAAUGCUACUUUGAAUUAAUGUGGCAGGCAGCAUUACAGUAUGCUAAUAGUCAAUUGAUCAACGCUCUAAGAACUAGGAUGAAUAAUGGAACGCUUUCUACCCUGUGGUUGAUCAUUUUUAAUUAAAAAUCUACAAGGAAGGUGCGGAUUUCCAUUGGAGCAAGUUCAACAACUAGUGUUACAGGAUCUACAGAUCUUCCUCUAGCCACCUGGGGUUCUUCUCCAGAGGAACCUUCUACUUUCCAAAUUAGCCUCUUCCUCUCCAUUGCUGCUCUCUCUUGGUUGGCAGAUAGACUUGUCUCUGUUACUUUUUUUAUCUUCUUGUAUGGGAACACCUUUUUCAAUUGUACACUUGCUGUGAUCGACAUAUCCUUAUCCUCUCCAAUCUUGCAAUUAAAGCAUCAAAAGAAACAAAGGUUUUAGGAUGAAUUGGCAAAGAAAAAUAAUGGGAAAGUAGUAUAUAACAUGAAGUAGCACCAAAAUUAAGAAUCAUAUAAAAGAAAACCAUAACUAAAACUGCAAGAGCAAUUGAUGAAUGCAUUCAGAUUAUUUGCUAUUACAUAACUGAUCCCGCCCUAAAUCGAGUUAAAUGGUCAGCGCUUGGAUAAAGAGUCCAACGUCGCAGUCAAAUUAUCAGCAUUCAGUCAAAUAGUCAGACUAAGCAAGAGAUUGUGUGGGCAGCCCAGACCAAGCAAAAGAUGCUCAGGCAACCCGAACCGAGCAGAACUCAGACCGAGUAGAAGGCUGCUAAAAAAGAAAAACAGAGUGACAAUGCUCACCUGGUAAGCCGAGCAUCAACUCUACUAAGCGUCAGCAAGGCCAAUCAAAGAUAAACUUGUAUCUCCAGGAGGGAAUAUCUUGGGAUAUUAACCCCAUAUCCGAGAUUCAUGGGAAUAGCUACAAUGACUAUUUAGCCUUUGGUCUAUAAAUAUGAGAAACAAUAAUUAAUCAGAACACUUACCCAUCCAAAUUUUCUACAGAAGCUUUCUUUAUUCAAUCUACCUACUCUCAACACACAUCACUAACUUGAGCGUUGGAAUGGUUGGCCAGAAGGCCACCGAGCUCACUAUUUCUUUCUAUUUAUAGGCUUACUUGGCACAUUAACUAGUCUUCAGAGGCUCACAGUCGCAUCAAUAACCAAUUUGCUUUCUCUGAAUUGUCUUUUCCAUGACCAAGUUGUUACCAGAAAAGCAAGACACAAACUGAACAAGAGAAGUAUGGAAGAUAAACUACAAACCUCAUAUAAGUGUGCCAACCGAAUCAAAACUUUUCCAUCAUCAAGUUCCUGCAGGGUUAUUAUUGCAACAUUAUCUGGUAAAACAUAGGAGGAAUCCAUUGCGGAAAAGGUUGUUACGUGAGUGUUUGUCCAAUUGUUUCCAUCCUGCUCUGUUAAGGCUAAGAGGAAAGGAGAAUAUAUCUCCUGACCAUAUGAUCGACGCCACUUAGCUCCCUCAGUUAAAGGAUCUAUUCUUAAAUAGUACUUCCCCACAAUAGUCAAUCCUGUGCAUGCAUCAAGAAUACAAACUGUUUCAUUCAGUGCCUCUCCAACUCCUCUAGAAUCGUCUCGCAAUAAUCUCCUGUGGAGCAUUAGUUCAAAUUGACCAUCUGCAAUACUUGAUCCACCAACAGAUCUAUCUACUAGGAUGGAGAACUCAGAACUAUCAUCUUUCAUGUAAAUUCCAAGAUUAAUAGGGUAAUAAUUUCCUGCAACAGGUUGAUUCACUUGGAGGUCCCAAUCUCUCCUGUAGUCUCGAAUCCUUUCUAUGAAAUCACGCCCAUUUGAAUCUGUAUAGAAUGUUUUGUUGUUUUUUAGAGUUGUUGUGAUCUUAGUUACAACCUCUUUGCCAAUUCCAUCAUCAAUUGGUAUUGGCCCAACAAUGAACUCAACUUCAGCAUGUUCUUUCCCCUUGUACACUCUGGUUAUCUGAUAUAUCCAUGAACUGAUCCUAUGAUGUAUUUCAUCCAGUAAAGGUCCCCGUAAAACAGUGAAAGCAACCUGUCCUUCGGAGUUGAUGGGAUAUGUACCAUUUGGGCGAAAUAUGUAUGCUCCAGAAGCCUGAGAAUCCUUGCUUCCAUCAUAUCCAGCAUAAUAGCUAUAUGAUUGCUCCACGGAUACUUUGACCGAGCUUCUGCCAUUUAUAUACUGAGUAAGUUUCCCUUCUUUCCCAGAAUAUAUUAAUUUUAAGUUUCCUGGCCCUAUUUCAAUUGAAUCAUUUUGAGUCACUUCUGUAUUGUAUACUUUUUGCCUUGAAACAGCAGCUGCCCGUUUAGUGGAUGAGGUGGCACUGGAAAUAAUGUAAGUGCUGAAACCAAGAGGUGGUACGGAUGCUGAAAAUGCAAGCCAGUACUUGGGUGUCACAUUUGAGGAGCUACCUACAUAUGCCAUAGAAUGGUAGUUUCUUAUGCCUCUAGGGGUAUCCAGUAGAGGCAGAAGUUGUGAUUCAAUUUCUCUU
rnacentral:misc_RNA from 1 species